rnacentral:rRNA from 1 species
CAGAACGAACGCUGGCGGCAUGCCGUAAUACAUGCAAGUCGAACGGAGAUAGCAAUAUCUUAGUGGCGAACGGGUGCGUAACACGUGAGCAACCUGCCUUAUACAUCGGAAUAACAGCUGGAAACGGCUGCUAAUACCGGAUAAGACCACACCAAGGCAUCUUGGAGAGGUCAAAGCGAAUUAGCGGUAUAAGAUGGGCUCGCGUCCAAUUAGCUAGUUGGUGGGGUAACGGCCCACCAAGGCAACGAUUGGUAGCCGACUUGAGAGAGUGAUCGGCCACACUGGAACUGAGACACGGUCCAGACUCCUACGGGAGGCAGCAGUAGGGAAUAUUGGGCAAUGGAGGAAACUCCUUACCCAGCAAUGCCGCGUGAAUGAUGAAGGUCUUAUGGAUUGUAAAGUUCUUUAAUUGGGGACGAAAGAAAUGACGGUACCCAAAGAAUAAGCCCCGGCUAACUAUGUGCCAGCAGCCGC